AGAAGCAAUAGGAGAUAUAUCUCUUAUUACAUUAAGUCUCCUAUUGCUUCUGUUUCUCUGGAGAACUCUAAUACAUAAAAGAUUAUGAUUAGAAUUAUGCUUGAAGAAGGUUAAUCUUAUAAUGGCAUGCAGAGCGGAGCUGGGCAAGGCCAGAGGCUAAAUAUGGAGCCAGAAAGAUACUGCAGAAAGUGAGCAAAAAGGAUGAGUGGAUGGCCUGGGGUGGAAUCCGUGAAAAAGGGCAGAUUGUCAGUCUCAGGAAAUCAACAGGACUGAGUUCUAACUUCAGCUGGGCUACUAUGCCCUGGGGAAUCAGAAGAUUCUCCCUAACAUUGGAGUCCAAAGAAGAGGAGCCACCAUCUCCUUAACUACAAAACAACUGAGAGAAGAAAUGUCUCCCUUUAGUGCCAGUGAAGAGUUUUGCUUCUCUAGAACAACUGUUUAUUUUUGAUCUUAUGAAACGCGUGACACUUGUAACUGAUUUGCCUUCUUUUUGCUUGCUGCUAGAAAUCUCAGAACCAAAUUCGAGGUCAUUUCUGAAUGUGCUGGACUACACAGCAUGAAUUCUGUGUCCUCUCACCUCAUUCAUAGAUACAUUUUUUUAUUCCUACCCAUCUUUUCCUUUCCCCAGAUUUUCCUAUUGCUCUUUUAUCAUCUUGAGUAAAGAAGGUUAAACUAUGAAUAAAAAGUACAAUCUCAAUGACGAGUCAGGGAAAAGUAAGUUUUGGACUUCCAUUUAGAGCCAUUUAUAGGUCAGCAAUCUUUUGUCUCUGUGUCUUCUUUCUGCCCUGAACAACCAAGGCAUCCUAGUCAGUCUCUCUUCAUCUGCAUACCACUUUAAAGAGCCCAGGGGUCUUCCAAGUACAGUCACUACUAAGAAAAUGUCUUCAGUAAAUUUUUUUUUUUUUUUUUUGAGAUGGAGUCUCGCUCUGUCGCCCAGGCUGGAAUGUAGUGGCACGAUCUCAGCUCACUGCAAGCUCUGCCUCCCGGGUUCACGCCAUCCUCCUGCCUCAGCCUCCCAAGUAGCUGAGACUACAGGCACCUGCCACCAUGCCCGGCUAAUUUUUUUUGUAUUUUUAGUAGAGACGGGGUUUCACUGUAUUAGCCAGGAUGGUCUUAAUCUCCUGACCUCAUGAUCCGCCCGCCUCGGCCUCCCAAAGUGCUGGGAUUACAGGCGUGAGCCCCCGCGCCCAGCCUUCAGUAAAAUUUUAAUGCAUGUUGCUUAUCAUUCUUUGUAUUGUAAGCACCAAUCCUUAAUCUGUGCUGUGGUUUUUGUUCAGAAACAUUUCUUUAAAAAAAUUUCCCCAGACGCUCAGCCUUCAUAUUCUAAUCUUUAUUAUUCUGAACUACCUACAAAGCUAAAUAUACCUUGUCUACAUGCAGUGCUUAUGUAACAAUGGUGCUUAUUUUGUUUUACAUUGCUUCAACCUCUGACCAGAAACUUAGAGGACAGAAUGCCCUGCUUUUACAAAAAAUGUGGUGACCACAACGGUAACCUUAUCUAAUUGAGACCAUUUUAGGAAGGAGGGGAGGAGAUAUUUUUACUGCAAAGACUGAGUCAUAAGCCUUCAUUUUUUACCCUGGGUUGUGCAGAAACUUUAAACUUUCUAUAUUAUUUCAUUUCUUCCAUACCAGGACAUUUAUUUCCUAUUCAGUGACAAUCUUGAUGUCUUCAUCCUUCAAACUGCUCUCUAACAUAGUUUCAAAAUCCAAGCAUUAAACAUUAUUAAUGCUCAGGGGAUGAAUAUGUUCAUUACCUUUACUGUAGUGAUGAUUUCCUAUGGCAAAAUGUUAAAUGAUGUAAAGAUAAAAAUAAUUAUCAUAGUUAUUAAUCAUAGCAAUAAAACUGGACUACCUAAAGCACAGUUUAUGGUAUAAUAUUUAUGAAUUAAGAGCAACACAAAUAAUAAUGUUAAUUGCUCACCUACAGAUGAAUGCAAAUGAGGAUAUAACAGAGUCGAAAUAAACUAAGCAAAGGAAACAA